rnacentral:ncRNA from 1 species
GGUGCUAAACCAUUCGCAGACGACCUAGUUGAAGAUCGGGGUGUCGUGAUCACUAGAGCAGUACAUCUCACUGCGAUUUGUUGAGAGUAAGCCUCAAGAUCUGUCGGUUUGU